GUUCGUAAUUUUGAGUACUCUCUCUCCUCUUCCUCUUCCGGGUGCUUCGCUGCCAUUUUUUUCGGCGAUGCUGCCGCUGCUUUUGUUUCUGCUCAUUUUCGUUGAUAAGGCGUCAUCUUCUUCUGACGAAAACGAUGGUGGUUUCUUUCUCGCUCUUCUUUCUCGUCGGAAUCACGAAAUCAAAACUUCCAGAUCUGAAAUUUUGAAAUCAAAACUUCAAUUUCCAGAUCUGAAAUUCGCGGAAGAUCAAUAAAAAGGCCGAUAUGCUCGCCGGAGAGGUUUCCAGAUCUGUCUUUCAUGGCUGUCGGAGUGAUAUGCACUUUUGCAAUCAACCAGUGGAGAAAAUUUGAGAGCAAAAGAGUUGAACAAAAUGGGAAUGAACGCUGUCAAUUUCAGUUCAGAAAGAACUCAAAUGAAUUUGUCUUUAAGUUGUUUUUAUGCAAUUGUUGUAAUUUUCUUUGUUUUUGUCAAGAGAUUGAUAGUGGAGUUUUGUGUGUAUUAUGGAAUUUUAAGUGUUUCCAAAUGAUUCGAAAUUGUUUCACAGGUUGCAAGUUAUAGGAUUUGAUGAAUAUGAUAUUGUAAUUUUCUCUCUUUUCUUCCUA